GCUGUCUUCAUGUACGCUGACCAUGGAUGUGAUCAGCAAAAAAAGGAAAUCACGAAGACUGGGACCAGCAUACCGUGAAUGAUGUCGCUGCACUGAAAGCGAUUGGAGUGACGGCGAGAUACAAACAGGUUGCUGCUGCGAAGAGGGCUGCCAGUCAAAAACAGAGUUGCAGACCAGCGAAGUGCAUGAAUGUGCACUUAUCAAAAUCAUUGCUUGUCUUCGUAGGAAGAAGCAUACCAGCUUGUUCGGCAUUGUAUCUGGAGCCACAGCAUACCACCAACCUUCGAUACAACCAGGGUCGAUGUGUCCAUUACAAUCUCGGAGGCUGCGUGUGGGUCUGGACGCCUAUCCGUCACUGCAGACUCUUCGAAAAGUUGUGGCACUGGUGUUAUGGUCCCUACAAGGUUACGCGCCACCUCAGUAACGAAACGUACGAAGUCGUCCUCCACAGUUCUGACCCCGGCUGCUCCAUCAUCGUCCUCGCGCUCAAAUUGUCCGCAUAAAGCCAUACUAUGCACGUACGUGAACAUCCAGACGACACCUCAGGAGCUCCAUUUUGUGCCGUUAAUUCUGCUCAAGGAACUUUUUGACGUGACCAAGUGUCA